ACAAGGCCACAAAUCUCACAAGUUUCUUCACAAAAAUCACAAAAGUCACAUGUACCACAAAAUAGUUCACAAAACUCACAUGUACUCACAGAAAUAAGUCCACAAACAUCCAAUGUAUGCCAUAAACAUGUCUCAUAACCAAGUUCAGAAGAACAUCAGUGAGGUGGUCGGUUGGACUGGUUUGAUGAUGUGUUGGGCGAACCAUGGGGGUUGUUUGAUGUCGUCGAUUGAUUCUGCACAGAGAAGAGAUUGCAUGUGUGAGAUUAGAUAAAUAUAUAUCAUACACGACUAAAAUUUUUAUAUUCACAGGAGUAUAAAACUGAGGAGGUUCAGCUGUAGGGAACAACGGAGGUGGUGGAGUAAUUAAAACUCGAUGCGGCGCCAAGGUUCUGCAUGUAUGAUACAUUUCCUCCAUCCUCUGUUGAUCGACCAAGCGAGUCAUCUGUUCGGCUAUCAUCCUCGCCUCCAACUCCACAUGUUGCAUCCUCUCUUCUUCUAGAUGAGUUUUUCUAUGCAAAGUGUUUCGCACUCGGCAAAGAGGUACGUUGCGGAGUAUCAUACUUCGCCGAGAGUAACACUCGACAAAUAAUUCUUUGUCGAGUGCCCGAGAUUUUACACUCGGCAAACAUCUGAGCACUCGGCAAAGAAUGUGUUUUCGGUAGUGUUUUGCUGCUUCAAUUUACACCUCACAUGCAUAUAUACUCCGUCCUCAUAUCAUAAACAUCGGUCCAUCUAGAUUUAUGCUAAGUCAUGAUUUCUUAAGUUUGAUAGGCAAUGUUUACACAAACAAAAGUUACCCCCUCUAAUCUUUUUUUACAUGUCACAUAAGAUUUGUCCUAAGCCAAAUAUUACUAUCUUUUAUUCUCCAUUUAAAAUUUUAUUUUAUUUUUAGAACCUACCAAUUAUAUAUUAUAAAAGUUUUUUUAUAAUAACUAUAAAACAUAAAUCUUAUGUCAUGUGCAUAUACUGAUACACACGUUUGACUUAAAACAAAUCUAAUAUUACAUAUAAAUAAAAACAGUAAAGGUACAUAUUAUGAAGUCCUCAUAAUAAAUCUAGUGAGGCCUCAUGUUUUCAAAAAAAAUGAUGGGAAAAUUUAACAACCUUUCACUUGGAAAAACCUUGUGAUUGAAGGAAGUACAGUUGCAUUUAUAUAUAAUAUAGGUCCAACUGGCCUGAAAAAGGCUAUUAUUGCACGAUUCAAGAUAAGGCAUUUAAAAAGCAUAGCUCGGCACUGUAAAUCAAAAGGAAAAGGAAAAACACUUGUAAUAUUAAACUGACAGACAACCACCACAUCACCAAAGAUCCAAUAGCAUCUACAAUUUAUUUUAAUGUAUUAUAAACAAAAGAAAAGAUAACAAGAGCCAAUGAGCAUGUAACUUGCAGGCAACUUUGUUGUCCUCCACACAGCACACAUGCCGAAUUCCAGCUCCUCAUUACUCCGUUGCGAUGUGACGUGUGCGUGCCGGCCGCUCAUCAUGCAAUGCAAUGCAACACCGAAUAAUAAACAGGCAGAAAUUACCGAGGCACGCGCGCGAGUUGGUGGUGCACUGCACACUCAGCUCAGGGCUCGAUCGCUCAGCUAUAUAAAGCCCUGCUGGUGCCAAAGCACACGCCAGAACGAUCGAGCUGGGACCGGUAGCUCGCCCACAAGCACUACUGCUCCGGCGGCGGCCAUCGCCUUGUCAUCAGGCUCCAGCUAGCUUGCAACAGAGGGGGCGAGCUAGGAGGAGGAGAUGAGUGCCCCAGCGGGCAGCGGCGGCGGCGGGGAGCGGGCGAUGAACAUCCGCGGCAUAUUCCGGUUCGCGGACCGGGUGGACGUCCUGCUGAUGGCCCUGGGCACGCUGGGCGCCAUUGGCGACGGCUGCUCCACCAACCUGCUGCUCAUCUUCGCCAGCGACGUGAUGAACGCGCUCGGGUACGGGGGUGCCCAGGCCGGCGGCGGCGCCAAGAGCGCGCAGUUCAUGCACGAGGUGGAGAAGGUUCGUCCUGCGCCGUGCAUUACCGCCUGAUGUACCGGCGACUAGCUAGUGUCGUCAACUCCGAACGAAGCGCGCUCAACUCAACAUCGUCUGCUGUGUGGGCAUUUUUCAGUAACUUUAUUGUUCACUUCUUUUCGUUUUGCCCUUUUUUUUCCCCGUGAUGCAGUCGUGCCUGAACUUCGUCUACCUGGGGCUCGUGGUGCUGGCGGUGGCGUUCAUGGGUACAGUACCUUCAGCUCACCACACCUAGCCUAGCCUAUCAAUUUAUGCACAUCAUCAGAACCUGCUGCUUGCAUCAAUGAAAGAACUUUCCCCCCUGUUUUUUAACAAAAUGUUUUAAUACAAUGACAAUUUUGCUUCAAAAAGAGGCAUCGUCUCUCUGAGCUAGCAAUUCUCUUUCUGUAACUUAAUAUAUGUUAUGUUACCCUACUCGGUUGCCUGCUUGUUGUCCAUGCAUGCAUGUGUGUAUGAUGAGAAGCCAAAAGAAGACAUGCAUCUUUCUAGAGCGCGCUACAGAUCGAUCUGUUUAAAACUAAAUAGCUGACGCUGUAGAAUUAUUAAACGUCGUAAAUUGUUUGAGCCAAACACUAAAAUGGACGACAGUUGUCGUACAUCUCACGCAUCGAUCUGCUUGCUUUGCUUGGAAAUGAAAAAAAUGCAGAAGGGUACUGCUGGAGCCGGACGAGCGAGCGGCAGGUGCUGCGGAUCCGGUACCUGUACCUGCAGGCCAUCCUGCGGCAGGAAGCGGGCUUCUUCGACUCGCAGGAGGCCACCACGUCGGAGAUCAUAAACAGCAUCUCCAAGGACGCCUCCCACAUCCAGGAGGUCCUCAGCGAGAAGGUAGGUACACAACCAAACAAACCCCUCCAUCCUCCCAUUCAUCAACAAAAGACCCCCAAUCUUCAGUCAGAACAACCCCAAAAACAAAACAAAACAAAACAAAAUGACGAGACACCCUUCAGAGGCUUCAGUCAUGUGAAUGUGAAUGUGACUAGCCAAACCAUCCGGUCCAUCUGCAGAUGACUUGACCCAGCCUCCAGCAACAAUUUCGUUUUUUAGACGGAGCAGUAGAGUACCUGUUAUAGACCGUCAGCGAAUUUCCUCUUUUUUUUUGGAACUAACCUGCGUGGGCACGACCGCACGAGGCUAGAAGCCAGCGACCUACAGCAGUAGAGCAUCGCUGAAUCAGGUGGCAAAUCAAAGGAUUUGACCUGGCAGUCUAGGCUGCCGUCUUAUUUUAUCCGUCAAACAUUUUCUUUUUUUACAGAGAAAAUGUCUCUCUGUGCUGUCAUCCUUCAGACUUCAGAGGAUUGCAAGUGUGUGUGUGUGCCAUCUUAUUACCCUGAUGGCUCGUCAUACGAUCAAACCAGUCUUCCACGUAUCGUUCUCCAUUUCCCACUGGGGCCGGACUUUAUUUGAACAAUCCCGUACUCACUUUAAUCAAUGUGUAUUGAGGUAGAUUAGAGUAUAACUUAAACUAAUUUAUACCCUAGUCUAUUUCAAUACGUAUAGAUUGAGGUAAAUACCAAACAAUGUCUGGGAGGGAUUUAAAAACACCCAACCUGAAAAUAACAUAAAUCCGCAAAAACAAUGACAAACUACUUGAGGGCUUAUUCAUUUCACCGUUAAUCCACGUGGAUUGGAUGUAUUGAGUCGGUUUAAAUUCGUAGCAAGUUAAAAUUUAUUCCAAUCCAUUUCAAUAUAUUCUAAUCCACGUGGAAUUGAAAUAACCGAACAAGAAUGAUCUAUCUAGAUGUACACCCACACUCUUUCCUGGCUUGAAAAAUUAAACAGACUACAAUAACUCAAUAAGAUUACCCAGCAUCCAGAAAAACGAAUGUGUAAAAACAAAAGAGCGAGACAGAGCUGAGGCUUGGGUCGUUUGGAUUCGCAUGUAUCUACCUCAAUCCCUAUGUGUUAGUGGUUUGGUGUAUAUUUUAAACUAAAUUCUACACACCAAACCACUUCAUCCUGCUUAGAUUAAGUUGAAUACUAUAUGCAGCCAAACAAGACCUGAAUGUAAUCCAGUGUUGGAUCAUCGUUCGAGGAGAAAUAACAGCAUGAUUGAUUGGCAUGAAAUCUGGAACAGGUCCCUCUGUUCCUGAUGCACUCUACGGUCUUCGUCUCCGGCCUGGCCUUCGCCACCUACUUCUGCUGGAGGCUGGCCCUGGUUUCGUUCCCUCUCGUCCUGCUGCUCAUAAUCCCGGGACUCAUCUACGGCAAGUACCUCCUCUACCUGUCCCGCCGGUCGCGCCACGAGUACGCCAAGGCGAACUCCCUGGUCGACCAGGCUCUGGGCUCCAUCAAGACCGUCUACUCCUUCACGGCCGAGAAGAGGAUCAUCCAGAGGUACACGGCGAUCCUCGACAAGACGAUCAAGCUGGGGAUCAAGCAGGGCAUCGCCAAGGGUCUCGCUGUGGGGUUCACCGGCCUUUCUUUCGCCAUUUGGGCCUUCCUUGCGUGGUAUGGUGGGAGGCUGGUGGUGUUCCAUCAUGUGACCGGUGGAAGGAUAUAUGCUGCUGGGAUUUCCUUCGUCUUGGGUGGCCUGUAUGUUUCUUGCACUCUUCACGCUUUAUCUGACUUCAUGGCACCAUUUGGUCAUGUAGAUGUAGAAGCCUGCCUAACUAGACAAACUUACUGAAUGUUGCAGAUCCCUUGGAAUGGCACUGCCUGAGCUGAAACAUUUCGCUGAGGCGUCUGUUGCUGCCACAAGAAUCCUUGAUCGGAUAAACCGUGUCCCCCAGAUUGAUGCUGAGGACCCAAAAGGCCUUGUGCUGGACCAAAUCCGGGGAGAGCUCGAAUUUGAGUCUGUCCGUUUCGAGUACCCAUCAAGACCAAACAUGCCCGUCCUCAAAAACUUCAGCCUCCAGAUUCCCGCUGGGCAGACUAUUGCUUUGGUUGGGUCCAGUGGCAGCGGCAAGUCAACAGCGAUAGCUUUAGUGCAGCGCUUCUACGAUGCCAGCGAAGGGACUGUAAAAGUUGAUGGUUUUGACAUCAAAGAACUCCAGCUCAAAUGGAUCAGGAGCAAGAUGGGGCUAGUCAGCCAAGACCAUGCGUUGUUUGGCACUUCAAUAAAAGAGAACAUCUUGUUUGGCAAACCAGAUGCAACCAUGGACGAGGUCUAUGCGGCAGCUAUGACAGCAAACGCUCACAACUUCAUAAGGGGGCUUCCAGAGGAAUAUGAGACAAAGGUACGCGCAUCAAAAAAAAGGAAAAAGAACGUCCAUCCACCUUAAUUCCAUGUCUCAUACUUUAUGGUUCCUUCUUGCAGAUUGGUGAGCGUGGAGCACUGUUAUCAGGUGGCCAGAAGCAGCGUAUUGCCAUUGCGAGGGCGGUAAUUAAGAACACUGCUAUACUCUUGCUCGAUGAAGCCACAAGUGCACUUGAUUCAGAAUCAGAGAAGUUGGUACAGCAUGCACUUGAUCAAGCAUCUAUGGGACGAACAACACUGGUAAAUUGCCACUGCUUCCGCUCUUCAUACUUUAUGACCCUUAUAUCAGAACUUGUUGAAUUAAUUAUCACUGCAUCUUUUUUCAAGAAAAAAACAUUUGGCAUUGAAUCUCUGAUUAUUCAUUAACAAUGGACAGGUAGUAGCUCAUAAGCUCUCAACCGUGAAGAACGCUGAUCAGAUCGCGGUAGUUGAUGGGGGUACAAUAGCUGAAAUUGGUACACAUGAUGAACUGAUCAGCAAGGGUGGCCCAUACUCGAGACUUGUGAAAUUGCAGAAGAUGGUAAGCUACAUCGAUCAAGAAAAUGAUCAGUUUAGGGCUUCCUCAGUGGCCAGGACCAGUACCAGCCGACACAGCAUGUCCAGAGCAAGUCCAAUGCCACUAACACCAGCUGCCUUAAAGGAAAAUGAUUCUGAUGUUCAUCCACCUGCACCAUCUUUCUCCAGGCUUCUUGCAAUGAACGCACCUGAGUGGAGGCAGGCAGUCGUAGGCAGUUUAUCCGCAUUGGUAUAUGGUUCCUUGCAGCCUAUCUAUGCCAUAACCAUCGGAGGAAUGAUUGCUGCAUUCUUUGUUCAGGACCAAAAUGAGAUGAAUGCAAUUAUCAGACGCUAUGCCUUGAUCUUCUGCUCACUGUCCUUGGUAUCCAUUGUUGUUAAUCUAUUGCAGCACUACAAUUUUGCAUACAUGGGGGAGCAUCUUGUUAGGCGCAUCCGGGUCCAAGUACUUGAGAAGAUAUUAACUUUUGAGGCAGCAUGGUUUGAUGAAGAAACUAACUCAAGCGGUGCAUUGUGCUCUCGGCUAAGCAAUGAGGCUUCUCUUGUCAAAACCCUUGUUGCAGACAGAAUAUCCUUACUGCUUCAAACAGCUUCUGGAAUUAUAAUUGCAGUGACAAUGGGCCUGAUGGUAGCUUGGAAACUUGCUCUUGUCAUGAUAGCUGUACAGCCAUCUACAAUGAUGUGUUAUUAUGCAAAAAAAAUGGUUCUCUCAAAUGUGUCAAGGGACUUGGCAAAGGCUCAGCAUCAAAGCACCCAGAUUGCCAUAGAAGCUGUUUACAACCACAGGAUGGUAACCUCCUUUGGAUGUUCAUCAAAGGUUCUUCAGCUAUUCGAGCAUGCGCAAGAGGAACCCUUGAAAAAAGCAAGGAAGAAAUCAUGGGUAGCAGGGAUCACCACAGGGUUGUCACCUUGCCUCUCGUUCUUG
rnacentral:lncRNA from 1 species